UCCCUGCUAGUUCAGUUGGUAAAGAAUCUACCUGCAAUGCAGGAGACCUGGGUUCAAUCCCUGGGUUGGGAA
rnacentral:tRNA from 1 species